AACGAACGCUGGCGGCAGGCUUAACACAUGCAAGUCGAACGGACGUAGCAAUACGUUAGUGGCAGACGGGUGAGUAACGCGUGGGAAUAUGCCCUAUGGUUUGGAAUAACUCAGGGAAACUUGAGCUAAUACCGGACAAGCCCGAAAGGGGAAAGAUUUGUCGCCAUUGGAGUAGCCCGCGUCUGAUUAGCUAGUUGGUGAGGUAAUGGCUCACCAAGGCGACGAUCAGUAGCUGGUCUGAGAGGAUGAUCAGCCACACUGGGACUGAGACACGGCCCAGACUCCUACGGGAGGCAGCAGUGGGGAAUAUUGGACAAUGGGGGCAACCCUGAUCCAGCCAUGCCGCGUGAGUGAUGAAGGCCUUAGGGUUGUAAAACUCUUUUGUCCGGGAAGAUAAUGACUGUACCGGAAGAAUAAGCCCCGGCUAACUUCGUGCCAGCCGCCGCCGUAACAC
rnacentral:rRNA from 1 species